ACCCGUCUGGUUCUGAACAUGAUGAAGAGCGAAGGCAGCUUAAACACAAACUGAUUAAAAGCUUACGCAAUGAUCGUGAGCAGUUGUGGAUGGCG
rnacentral:precursor_RNA from 1 species